AACACAACAAAGAGAGGAGAAAAGGGAGUAAGGGAGAGAAAAAGAGGAGAGAAAGGGGAAGGUAGCGGACAUUUAAAAAAAAAAAGGGAUUUGGUUUCUUUGGAGAGAAAAUCGAGAGAGAGCAGGGGAGAUGGGAAUGACAAUAGAGAUUUCAAUACAAAGCUAUGAUUAGUGGUAGAGAAACCGGGAGAGCUAGAGCCAAAUCGCCAAAUUGAGAGGAAAAGAAUGAACCAAAGUAUCGCAUGAAGCAAGAAAGAAGGAGAAGGGAGAACGGUCGUGAACCAGAGAAGAAGUAGGGAAAACGAGUUUUAGUUCUUCAAGGGUUCAUGGUUUUGUUUGCUUGCAUAUGUCGAAUUGUGACCAAUGUUGGAGACCAAAAUAGUAUUAGUCGCUUCUAUGCUGAAGCACCAGUUCAAAUUUCCAUAGAAGCUUCUCCAACUAAAUUGGUUUUUGAUGAGAUUGACCAGAAGCAGAGUUUCACCAUUACAAUAACUCCAAUUGAAGAUGCUAAAACUUAUUUUGGGGACAGUUAUGCAUUUCAGCAUUUGGGUGGUACAGAUGGAGUUAUAGUCACUAUGAAGUAAGAAGUACUAUAGUAGUCUCUUUAUCUUAAAGAAAACUCUGUUAGGCAUCGAAACAGACAAAAGUUUUAGCUUCUUGUCAAAAUGUUCUUCAAUCAUUACAAAUUGUAUCGUUACUUGAGGACUAUCAAAAGGUUUUACUUCAUAAUAAAGGGUGGUGUGAGGAUGGAUUUAUGGUGU